rnacentral:rRNA from 1 species
CACGUAGGGCGCGAGCGUUGUCCGGAAUUAUUGGGCGUAAAGAGCUCGUAGGUGGUUUGUUACGUCCGCUGUGAAAACCUAGGGCUUAACCCUGGGCUUGCAGUGGAUACGGGCAGACUAGAGGUAGGUAGGGGAGAAUGGAAUUCCUGGUGUAGCGGUGAAAUGCGCAGAUAUCAGGAGGAACACCGGUGGCGAAGGCGGUUCUCUGGGCCGAUACUGACGCUGAGGAGCGAAAGCGUGGGGAGCGAACAGG